AUUUUGGGAAGAUGAAAAAUAUUGGGAAAUUGGGUAGUAGUGCAAAAAUGAAGUCUUUAUCUUCCAUAGUAGAAAGAUAAUAGAUGUUUAAAAUGGUAAAAUGAGUGAUAACAUAGUCAUGUUGUUUAGAAAUACGAAGGUAUACAAUAGGAGAAUCAAUGAAAAGUUUUGAAAAUGAAAUCUAGGGAUGAGGAUUCAGUGGUAGGAGUGACAGGAAAUAGGACUAUGUGCAUAUCUUUGUUUGAUAAAAUGAAUUUAAUGUGGAUGGUUAGAACAAUAUUACAUUGCUUUAUUUUAGAUAAGAUUAAUGCAUACUUAUUGUAAAAAAUUUGAAAAAUAAAGGUGCCAAAAGAAAGUAUUUCAUCGUUAAUGUGGUUAAUGCACAUACAUGCUGCACUUGCUGUUUUAUAAUCUUUAUUACUUAAAAGCAUAUGGUGAUUUUAUCAUGACAUUGCUUUUUAUAUAUUUUUUUAAAAAAUAAAAAUGCAAAGAAAUCUAAAGAAGAAAAAUACCAACUCCCCUUGGAAAAGACAGGAAGUGACAUUGAACUGGUUCUUAACAUAUAAUAAUAAAAUGAUUGAGCUCUUUCUGAGUCAGUCAAUUCACUAACUGCUUUACAUACAUCAUAUCAUUUAGUUCUCAUAAUAAAUCUGAAAUUUCAAUGAUAAAUCUCACUUGUACAGAGUAGGAAACUACGGCUUAGCAAGAUUUUUGUCAAGGUCAUUUGGCUAAUAAAUGACAGUGCUAGAACUUUAAAUACCACAACCACCUGGUAAAAAGUGCUGUGGGUGUUGGUCUGGAAUACACCCAGAUAACCAGCCUCCCUGACUCCAAGGCCUGGGUCGUUAACCUCUUCACCAUGUUCAGUAGCUGGGUAAGUGAAGGAAGAGGGGAGGAUAUUGCUGACAGAAUAAACUAUAUAUAGAAUAGAAGAAUGAGGACUUCAGGCGUGGUUGGAGCCUGACAUUUCUUUUUCCUGUGUGGAUAUCAUGGUAUUUGUGGACAGGGAUUUGGCUGAAAAGUUUAGUUGAGGUAACAAUAAGGAGUACCUUGCCUAACGUGGACUUCCAUCAACAGGCCUCUGGUUGUCAGACAGGGACAUCCAUACCGGUGAGGAUCAUCAAUGUGAAAGGCGUCAUCAGUCUUAACCAGUUGGUGGAAGCAACACAAGUUGGAAAGAUUCUGAGUCUCUGGGUAACUAUGUGGAGCACAAUCCCAGCUAACUCACAUUGGAUUAUGACAUGAGAAAAAGGUAAAUAUUUAUUAAUGUAAGCCACAAAAAUUUGUUGUUUAUUGCAGCAACUAACCCUACUUAUCUUAAUACAAUGUUUUAUAUAGAUUUUAGUAUGUGAACGUAACAAACACCAAAAGUUUUAGAUAAAUGUAUUAUUAAAAAUUUUUUUCUCAUCAUUUCCCAUCAAACCUGUGAAUAGCAGAAAUAAUUCAAAUUUAUCAUCAAAAUGCCUUGGUCCUACUAGAGCAUAGCUUGAGAACUUCUUCCUUCUUCCUUCUUCUUCCCUCCCCCUCCCCUCCCUCCCUUCUUCCUCCCUUCCUCCCUUCCUCUCUUCCUCCCCUCCUCCCCUACUCCCCUCCUCUCCUUCUCCUCUUUCUCCUCCUCCUCCUCCUCCUCCUUCUUCCCCUUCUUAUUCUUCUUCUUCAAGUUCUGGGAUACAUGUGCAGAAUAUGAACCAGUGCUUGUAAAUGAAAUAAAGUAUGUAAUGAAACCUAGAUCAUCAAGGCUUCUCUGUACUUGAUUGAGGCAGGUGACUUCUUUAAAAUUUUCUUAAUUCCUCUCCAAUGCCUGGAAUCAACAUUGGCCUACAGUGUCAUCCAGGUGGAGUUCUCUGAUCCCAGACCAGAACUUUUGGACUCAGGUUGCUAUUUCUUUUCUUUGGCGUCCUCUUUGAUCCUCUACUCUGUUGUAGAGUUGACCAAAUGCUCCAAGGAACUCUGGACUCAUGCCUAUGUGUUGUUGCAAGAACUCAGUGGUUCCAGGAGGGUAGCCUGUCAAGCAAAUUGUUGCUGAAGACCGGAAAGGUAUUUAAUUAAUGGGAUCACAUUACAUUAGAAAGCCAUUAUGGUUCUAGCAUGCUUAUUUGGGAUAACUCAAAUUAUUUACAGACAGGGACUCCACACAAAAAAAUUUAUUCAACACCCUAAAAACCUUAAGGAAAUCUUAAAUGCCAUUGCAUUAAGGUUAAGAAAUGAAAUAUAAAAUAUUUAAUUUUGGGAAUAUGCAUAGAAUUUACAAGGGACAUAUAGUAUUUAUAAAGAAAACAGGAAAUGAUGGAUUGGUAGAAAUGGGAUAGGAAGAAGGGAUGUAGUUAUAUGUAGGUCAUUGUCAAGGUCCUAACUUUAGUUUCCAGUGAUGGAUUUGGAGGUGUUUAUUAAAUUGUCAAACAAACAAAAUAAAUGACAAUUCAUUCAUAAGCCAAUGGUGACAGUAUAUCAUAAACAAGAAAUAUGAUUAAUAAAAUUGUGUCCACCUGAGUCCACAAAAUAAAAAUAAUUCAGCAAAACAGAAUAAAGCCAAGGAACAGACUUAAAAUAAAUGAAAAUGUAAAGAAGAACAUAACAAAGAAUAAAAAUAGCCUUUUGAAUUGCUGGAAAAGAAUAGACUCUUUAAUAAAUAGUUUUAGCACAAUUAACUAUUCAUCGUAAUACCUCACAAUAUACACUUGAAUAAAUUCUAAAUGUUUUAAAAGAAAAUAGUAAAAUAAAAUUUUAAAAAUAGGAAAAAAAUAAAA
ensembl:lncRNA